rnacentral:lncRNA from 1 species
CAGGAUCAUCUGAGUUUCAUGUUCCUCCACUUGUUCUCUACAGGCUCUCCACGGGCUCAGCAUAAUGUCCUCAAGUUCAUCCCAUGUUGUCAUAUAUGGAAGGAUUUACUUCAUUUUAAGGCUAAGUAAUAUUCAUUGGACACUGGGAUAGUGAAGACUAGAUUUUGAACUGGAAUAUACAAUAAGAAGAUUUCGAAGUUUGAAGAAGAGCAUCCAGAAGAAACUUAUGAAAGGAACAGAGAAGUAGCUGCCAUUGGCUUCACAAAGACUGAGCAGAGAAAAAGAAAAAGGAGACACAGAGAUGCACAGAUACACAUAGGAAGAAUGCCAUAUGACUAAGGAGGCGCAGAUUUGAGUGAUGACAUCUACAAGCCAAGGAACACCAAAGACUGCCAACAACCACCAGAAGCUAAGAGAGAGGCAUGGAACAAUUUUUCCCUCAGAGCCUCCAGAAGAAACCGAUCCUGC